CGUCUCACGAGCCUUCGGGUUUGGUAUCUUAAACCUCAUGGUAACCGCAUUCACAUCAUAUACCUCCACUUUUGAUGAUAGUUCACCAUAGCUCCAAAUCUUAUUAACCACCAUAUGCACCUUAGCAAUGUGAGGAGCAAUGUCUAAGAACUUCCCUACCACAAAAUCCUCCCACAAUGGCGUAGAAUCAAUGAUGAUUUCAUCAGGGAUCUCCACCUUAUGCUUACCAUCCUUAGUUUUUACCUCCACUUCAUACUUCUUCAAACAUCGCCUAUCCUGAGCCUUCAAUGCCUAAAUUUGAUCUAACGUCUUCAAUACCUCAUCUCUCAACUGCUUUACCUCCCUUAGAUCUCCAUCCCGAACCUCCGUAAUCUUCAAAUCCCCAUCCCGAACCUCCGUAAUCUUCAAAUCCCCACCACAACUCUCCUUGCUGAUCAGAUCAAAAGCUCCAGAAAGAUUCCCCUCCUUCGAAUCACCUUCACGGAUCUUCUUAUUCUUUGAAACAGAAUCCCCACGUUGCUUUCCUUCACUCAAGUCAUCUUCCCGGACAUACCGACAGUCGCGAUCCCUCUCCGGCGGAACUGACGAGCCCCGCGAAGAAGCCGCCUCCAUCAGAAAAACCCCAAGUCAAAAUAUCGCACUCAGAAUCGCCAAAAUCGCCUCAGAGCAAAACGCAGCGUUUUGUCAAGGUGCUAGUAUUUCUCAAUGAUCCUACCUGAGGUUUCACAGGUUGCGCUUCUUGCCAUACGAGAUUCUCUUACAUUGAGAAUUUGUUGCUUGUUCUAGAAUAGUUUUGAUUCCCUGAUGCGAUGCCAGUGACUGACAAAUGGUAUUAUUUGAGCAUUGACCAUAUGUUAGUCAACAUAUUAAAAUGCUAGUCAACAGAUUAUGUGCUAUCCAUGUUUUUUUUUGUCACGAUGAUGUAUAUAUGUAUAAUAAUAAAACAGGGGUUUCUCUCAUUAGCCUUCCACGUCCCUCCUUAGGGGUGGACAUUUGAUGACAUGUGUCGCCAUUUAAUUGGUUGCGUUUUUUUUAAAUGACCCAAACCCAAUCAAUAAGGCUUACCAAUCCAUUGGGUUCCGUUCUCUUCCUAUGGUUACUAACGAAACAGAGUAUCCGUCGUGACGAUUGAUUCAGAUUGCACAUUCUCUUUACACAGGGCUAUGUAACGCCUGAGCUAAUAAUUAAUUCACCACAUUGAAGAACACAUUUACUUGAUUUAUAUAACUCUUUCCGCUAUCUCACGCGUUCAAUCAUCUUCCCACUCCUCGAAGGCACCAAAGAAAGAAAAUGUUCCACUACCAUUCUCUAAACCCCGCCAGAUCCGGAGGUGGAAUGCAGAAGAAGUGAAGCAAAGGAAAGCUAAAGUAGAAGAAGAUGAACAACAUGGUUCAAUUCGAUCAGGCAACUAACAACAAGCUUCGGUCUGAAUCUCCUGUUCAAGUUGGUAAAUCAGGCUGUAUCCUUUUCAACAUCAUCUGAUCCAUCAGCUGCCUCAAUUAGAGGACCCUUCAAACCAAUUUCAUUGGUCUCAUCUAUUAUUCAGUUGCGAAUUCGCAAAGGAUGUGUGGUUCGCGUUAUUCUCUCACCCUACUCUUUAAUCUCCUUCAUCACCAUUUUUCUACUGCUACAACUAACUCAUUCCUGUCAGGCUGGUUCAAAUACUUCUAGUAUUGAGCCAUCGUUUUCUGAGUUUGAUUUUUCAAUCAUCACAAAGCAUUUCGCUUCUCUUGGGUUCUGUCAGAAAGCAUCUCUCGGUGUUAUUCUCAAAUUGUUUGGCUUCACAUGUAUGGCUCUGUUUUUUCUGAACUGUUUUUUUUGUCAAUUUUUCUGUACUGUUUUACAAAUGUUUCUUUUUUGGAAGUGGAAGAAAAAAAUGUAUAAAAUGAAUGUUAAAAUAACUGCCAAAAUAGUAACAACAUUGAAAUAAUAUCACUCUACUACCUCAAUUAUUUGUUUAUGUCCACUAUAUCAAACAAAUAAGCAUUUGUGUUAUGCACAUUCCUAUCAGACGUUAUAGAUAUAAACUCAUCAUCUAGCUUCUCUAAAACUAGCACCUCCAAUCAGGCAUCAGCUAUUCACAUUUAACAAAGAAAAAGGAAGUCAACAUCGAAAGCACCUACAAUAAUAUAGUUCCAAAUUAAACAAUCUUAUAUCAUGACAAAUGUUCUUUAUUUAAUAACAUAAAUGGCAAAUAAUACUCCAAAGAGUUCACGAAAAAUGCAAGGACUUAUUCUUACGUUACUCUUUUUGGAAACUCUUACGUCACCUUUCAUUAGUGAGUGUUAAAAUGCUACGGAUCCAUUGAAUGAUAUUUAUUCCGCGAGUUUAAACCAUUUUUUUAUUUUGAUGAUGUUUUUUUUUCUCAAUACAGGUUUUCACUUUAAUAAAUUCGUCAUUUUCAUACUAUGUUUUCUUCCAUUUUUUCAAAUAUAUUAUUCAACGCUUUUUAUUAGUGUCCUCUCCAAGAUAAUCUCAUUUUUGAUAUUUGUUAAAAUUUAAAAUCUAAGGUUUAAAAUGUUUUUAUAUGUUAAGUCCUAAAUUUAACUCUUAAUGUUUUAUAUUUCUAUUAUAAUCCUUAUUAUUGAUCAAAUUUAAUAAAAUUAUAUAUUUAUAAAUAAUAAAAUAUACAUUAAAAUGUAUUACAGAAAAUAUUUGCAUUACAUCAUAAUAAUAAAAAUCUGAAAAGGCAAACUAUAUGAUAAUUUUUACAUGUUAAAAAUUAAAAUGAUAUGUGAACAAGAUAAACACAAGCAUUUACUUUUUUUCCUUCUCGAACAUCAACUUUACUUUAUGUUUAAAUUUUAACAAAAUUAUUUUUGUUUCAUCUAUUAAACUAUUCUAUUUUUACUGAAUCGAUCAGUCACAACCACUUAUGCUAUUUCAAUUUGAUCCGAACAAUUUCAAAACAAAAAAAUACACUACGGAAAAAAUUAUUCUCUUUCGACAUAUUUUUUUUACUACAACCUAAAAUUAAUCGUAAAUUUAUUUAAGAAUAAAAUAUAAAACCACUAGUAAAUAGAUAUUUUAUUCCUUAUAGUCAAAGUUUCAGUAGUGGUGUUGGGCU